rnacentral:rRNA from 1 species
UACAGAGGUGUCAAGCGUUGCUCGGUGUCACUGGGCUUAAAGGGCGCGUAGGCUGUGCAGUACGGCUCGGGUGAAAUCCCUCGGCCCAACCGAGGAACUGCCCGGGCGACGGCUGCGCUGGACUGCAUCAGGGGCGGAUGGAACUCCCGGUGGAGCGGUGAAAUGCGUAGAUAUCAGGAGGAACACCGAUGGCGAAGGCAGGUCUCUGGGCUGACACUGACGCUCAUGCACGAAAGCGUGGGGAGCAAACAGG